CCCCGUCCUCACAGCAAAAGGAGGGGAACGCGCCAGGCCGCGCCUACGGCACCCAGCGAGCACAACGAGCCCGCGGCCCGUGGACACCCAGGGAGUGGAGCGGGACUAGGGCCCCCGGCGUUCAGCAGGCAGAGCAAGAACUAAGUGGUGAAAUGUGGAGCUUUACAAAGAUGAAGGCAACAGACUAUACAUUGAAGACCUAAAAUGUGGUGCCAUACUUGAGACUCUGGGAUCUGACUUGAGAAACACUGACAUUCACAGUUGAGGUGAAUGAUGAACACACACAUUAAAUGUAUGGAGUCCCCUUCCAAAAGCUGACUUGCUUCUUCUCAUUAAUCCCACCAGUCAAGGAUACAUAACUGUGGCUGCUUCUAUCUAUAGUCUAGCAAUGAGACUAGAUCUUUACCUCUGCAUUUAGUAGUGAAAUAGAUUUAUCGUAGUUCCAUUAAGUGAAGUGCAUAUCCUUUUUCACAUCUGCUAAAACUUCCAGCUUAAUACUGAAAUUGUUGAUGUACUGUGACCUAUCAAACUAUCCUACUGUGGGUAAGUACUUCUAAUUACUGAUAUUUUCAUUCCUUUGUGAACGGAGCAACUUUCCAUGUUGUCUGUUAAUUUUUAACUUUUAAAUCUUUCCAUUAAGUGAUCAAUAAAAAUAGCUGGUUACACUCAGGUAUGCAUAAAACUUCUUAACAUUAUUUAGAUAUUUGUUGGAUUAGCUGUCAGUAAAUCUUAUUGUGUAACUCUGGAGGUAAUAAUUCUUGGGCAGCUAAAAGUUUAAACAUACUCUCCUAUACACCUCAUACUGAUUACUGUUCAGAUGAAAGAAGACUCACUAACCAUUAAGCAUAUUACUAUACUUGGGACCAAAUGCAGCAGCCUUGUGUAAUGGAAUAAUGUUGCAAUCCUU